AGCUUUGCGCAGUGGCAGUAUCUUAGCCAAUGCGGUUUAUUCAAGGCAUGAUUAUUGCUAAUUGAAAAAAUCAUAAUUAAAAUA
rnacentral:snRNA from 12 species